GUUUGACGUGGGGCUUCAAGCUGAAAAGCAAAACAGUUAUUCACUGGGAAUAAUGCUGAGGCCAUUUCUAGAGCAACAUGGAUGCAUAAAAAACAGUGUAUGCUGCAUGUGGCAACCGACCCUACGUUUUUACACACGGAUCAUGGAAUUACUUGAAAAAAGCUAUACGUAACCAAAUCUCCUUUGCAGAUGCAGCAAGGACCUGUCCAACUGCUCUAUUAAUAGCUGCCCCUGACUGUAAAAUGCUGUGUUCAAGCCUUGAUGGAAGGGAAUACUCUAGAAUUGCCUCACUACAAUGUGUUUCUAUCUAGAGUCUUGCUCAGGUUCAGGUCCAGCUCUUCUCCUGUUGACCUCUGAAGGUAGCUGUUGUAGUCCAACAACUUGUCAUAGCGCUUCUGGAUGAGCUUCUGUGGGCCUGAAAACAAGGCUUGUAGCGCUGAGAGAGGAGACAAAACAAGUUUGUCCAGCUGAGCCAUCUGGAAAGAAACUCAUCCAAAAAAACUGUUCAUCUUUCCCAAUGGAUUCCUAAGGUUUCUUGCUGUUUUCUGUCCCAGUCUUCCUCACAUACACCCGUUUUCUCACACGUACGGAUAGCUGUGUAACACUGGACAUUGCAUAAACUUACAA